rnacentral:rRNA from 1 species
CGUAACAAGGUUUCCGUAGGUGAACCUGCGGAAGGAUCAUUACCGAGUGUAGGGUUCCUAGCGAGCCCAACCUCCCACCCGUGUUUACUGUACCUUAGUUGCUUCGGCGGGCCCGCCAUUCAUGGCCGCCGGGGGCUCUCAGCCCCGGGCCCGCGCCCGCCGGAGACACCACGAACUCUGUCUGAUCUAGUGAAGUCUGAGUUGAUUGUAUCGCAAUCAGUUAAAACUUUCAACAAUGGAUCUCUUGGUUCCGGCAUCGAUGAAGAACGCAGCGAAAUGCGAUAACUAGUGUGAAUUGCAGAAUUCCGUGAAUCAUCGAGUCUUUGAACGCACAUUGCGCCCCCUGGUAUUCCGGGGGGCAUGCCUGUCCGAGCGUCAUUGCUGCCCAUCAAGCACGGCUUGUGUGUUGGGUCGUCGUCCCCUCUCCGGGGGGGACGGGCCCCAAAGGCAGCGGCGGCACCGCGUCCGAUCCUCGAGCGUAUGGGGCUUUGUCACCCGCUCUGUAGGCCCGGCCGGCGCUUGCCGAACGCAAAUCAAUCUUUUUCCAGGUUGACCUCGGAUCAGGUAG